rnacentral:rRNA from 1 species
AGAGUUUGAUCCUGGCUUAGGAUGAACGCUAGCUACAGGCUUAACACAUGCAAGUCGAGGGGCAGCAUUGGAGUAGCAAUACUCAGAUGGCGACCGGCGCACGGGUGAGUAACACGUAUCCAACCUGCCGCUUACUCGGGGAUAGCCUUUCGAAAGAAAGAUUAAUACCCGAUGGUAUAAAGAGUUCGCAUGUUCUCUUUAUUAAAGAAUUUCGGUAAGCGAUGGGGAUGCGUUCCAUUAGAUAGUUGGCGGGUAACGGCCCACCAAGUCUACGAUGGAUAGGGGUUCUGAGAGGAAGGUCCCCCACAUUGGAACUGAGACACGGUCCAAACUCCUACGGGAGGCAGCAGUGAGGAAUAUUGGUCAAUGGACGAGAGUCUGAACCAGCCAAGUAGCGUGAAAGGAUGACUGCCCUAUGGGUUGUAAACUGCUUUUGUAUGGGAGCAAUAAGGGCUACGUGUAGUCCGAUGAGAGUACCAUACGAAUAAGCACCGGCUAACUCCGUGCCAGCCGCCGC